rnacentral:rRNA from 1 species
AACGAACGCUGGCGGCAGGCUUAACACAUGCAAGUCGAGCGCCCCGCAAGGGGAGCGGCAGACGGGUGAGUAACGCGUGGGAAUCUACCCAUCUCUACGGAAUAACGCGUGGAAACGAGGGCUAAUACCGUAUACGUCCUUCGGGAGAAAGAUUUAUCGGAGAUGGAUGAGCCCGCGUUGGAUUAGCUAGUUGGUGGGGUAAAGGCCUACCAAGGCGACGAUCCAUAGCUGGUCUGAGAGGAUGAUCAGCCACACUGGGACUGAGACACGGCCCAGACUCCUACGGGAGGCAGCAGUGGGGAAUAUUGGACAAUGGGCGCAAGCCUGAUCCAGCCAUGCCGCGUGAGUGAUGAAGGCCCUAGGGUUGUAAAGCUCUUUCACCGGUGAAGAUAAUGACGGUAACCGGAGAAGAAGCCCCGGCUAACUUCGUGCCAGCCGCCGCUGUAAUAC